rnacentral:rRNA from 1 species
AUUGAACGCUGGCGGCAGGCUUAACACAUGCAAGUCGAGCGGGGUGAGGUGCUUCGGUACUGAUCCUAGCGGCGGACGGGUGAGUAAUGCUUAGGAAUCUGCCAUUUAGUGGGGGACAACAUUCCGAAAGGGAUGCUAAUACCGCAUACGUCCUACGGGAGAAAGCAGGGGAUCUUCGGACCUUGCGCUAAAUGAUGAGCCUAAGUCGGAUGAGCUAGUUGGUGGUGUCAAGGCCUACCAAGGCGACGAUCUGUAGCGGGUCUGAGAGGAUGGUCCGCCGCACGGGGACGAAGACACGGCCCAGAGGCCGACGGGAGGCAGCAGUGUGGAAUAUUGGACAAGGGGCGGAAGCCUGAUCCAGCCCUGCCGCGUGUGAGAAGAAGGCCGUUUGGUUGUAAAGCACUUUAAGCGAGGAGGAGGCUACCUGGAUUAAUACUCUGGGAUAGUGGACGUUACUCGCAGAAUAAGCACCGGCUAACUCUGUGCCAGCCGCCGCAGUAAAAC